ncrna:unclassified sequences c-di-GMP-I-GGC riboswitch
GCCGAUAAAGGCUAACCUCUCGAAAGAGAGGAGAGCGCAAAGCCACGGGUCUAAGGCUCCGAUUUGAGCUAUGGCUACCGGGUUGCCGAAG